UUUACGGGAGGCAGCAGUGAGGAAUAUUGGGCAAUGGAGGCAACUCUGACCCAGCCAUGCCGCGUGCAGGAAGAAGGCCCUAUGGGUUGUAAACUGCUUUUAUACAGGAAGAAACACUCGUACGUGUACGAGCUUGACGGUACUGUAAGAAUAAGCACCGGCUAACUCCGUGCCAGCAGCCGCGGUAAU
rnacentral:rRNA from 1 species